rnacentral:rRNA from 1 species
AGAGGGUGCAAGCGUUGUUCGGAAUUAUUGGGCGUAAAGGGUGCGUAGGCGGUGCGGUAAGUCUUCUGUGAAAUCUCCGGGCUCAACUCGGAGCCUGCAGAGGAAACUGCCGUGCUGGAGUAUGGGAGAGGUGAGUGGAAUUCCCGGUGUAGCGGGGAAAUGCGUAGAUAUCGGGAGGAACACCUGUGGCGAAAGCGGCUCACUGGACCAUUACUGACGCUGAUGCACGAAAGCUAGGGGAGCAAACAGGAUUAGAUACCCUGGUAGUCCUAGCCCUAAACGAUGAUCGCUUGGUGUGACAGGUACCCAAUCCUGUCGUGCCGGAGCUAACGCGUUAAGCGAUCCGCCUGGGGAGUACGGUCGCAAGGCUG